rnacentral:rRNA from 1 species
GUAGGGGAGCGUUCUGUAAGCCUGCGAAGGUGGCCUGUGAGGGUUGCUGGAGGUAUCAGAAGUGCGAAUGCUGACAUAAGUAACGAUAAAGCGGGUGAAAAGCCCGCUCGCCGGAAGACCAAGGGUUCCUGUCCAACGUUAAUCGGGGCAGGGUGAGUCGACCCCUAAGGCGAGGCCGAAAGGCGUAGUCGAUGGGAAACGGGUUAAUAUUCCCGUACUUGGUGUUACUGCGAAGGGGGGACGGAGAAGGCUAUGUUGGCCGGGCGACGGUUGUCCCGGUUUAAGCGUGUAGGUGUGUGUUCCAGGUAAAUCCGGUUCACUUUAACACUGAGGCGUGA